rnacentral:rRNA from 1 species
AUUGAACGCUGGCGGCAGGCCUAACACAUGCAAGUCGAACGAGUGGCGGACGGGUGAGUAAUGUCUGGGAAACUGCCCGAUGGAGGGGGAUAACUACUGGAAACGGUAGCUAAUACCGCAUACCAUCGGAUGUGCCCAGAUGGGAUUAGCUAGUUGGUGGGGUAACGGCUCACCUAGGCGACCAUCCCUGGCUGGUCUGAGAGGAGGACCAGCCACACUGGAACUGAGACACGGUCCAGACGCCUACGGGAGGCAGCAGUGGGGAAUAUUGCAUAAUGGGCGCAAGCCUGAUGCAGCCAUGCCGCGUGUAUGAAGAAGGCCGUCGGGUUGUAAAGUACUUUCAGCGGGGAGGCGUUACCCGCAGAAGAAGCACCGGCUAACUCCGUGCCAGCAGCCGCGGUAAUUC